rnacentral:misc_RNA from 1 species
GCAUCCCUCCCCUGACCCUCCCUCAUGCCAUGUUGUGCGCAGGCAGGCGGAUCCAUGGACGGAUGCGGCGCGGUGGUGAGUGGCAUGUGAUGGGCGACAGCUUUUGCGCGGGCGCGCCGGCCCCCACGGGUGGUGACCUGACCUGACCCCUCCCGGCAUGCGUUGAACAUGUCUGCUGAGAAUGAAAGACACCAGCGCAUGGGGUGGGGGGGUUCUUUCAGGGUUCGUUCAAAGUUGCAGGCAUCUUCGUUCGUCGGUCGCUUCUUCUCCGUUCCGCUCCGCUCCGUUCCGUUCGUCUCGCUUUCCUCGCUCGCUCUGCCUCUGACGAACACAUGCCACCGCCCACCCGCUGACCGCUCCGCCAAAGCGGCCCGCUGCAGCGGGAGAUGGAGAGAAAGCUCUGAGGGUCAAGACUCGGGAGGAGAGGACUGGCAGAAGAAUCUCAUAUUGAUGCAGGGCGCUGAUGCUUUGAGGAAAUGGGACGAGGGGGGGCGUCUUUCAGGAACAGUGCCGCGGUUAUCCAUCCACCUUUUUUUAAGAGAGAGAGAGAGAGAUCAUUUCGAGC